rnacentral:lncRNA from 1 species
CAGUGAUCGAGGAAAGCCAAGCCAGAGCUCUGCAAGCACCAGGAAUUCCUGCUUUUCACGCAUUCAAGAUUUUGACGAUCACAAAGUGUAAACUUCUCCAAGAACAUUGCCGGAAGGGGACAGGUAAAGAAUGGGCCAAGAUUGCACACAUCCCAUAUAUCAAAAAUGAUCUUGAAAACACCGAAAGAGAUGACAUUCCAGUUCUCAAAGAUAUUGAUGAGAGAGAGGUGAAGUUUUUAAAGCCUUUCAGAAACAUUGCAUGAAGCAAAGUAUGAGGGGGAUCAACAGUCUCAUCCAGUUGUUCCUGGCCUUGUAUUAAAUCAACUAUGCAUUAGUUCUAUGUCUAGAAGAACGUCUCUUGUUGGAGCAAACUGGUAAGCAAAGGGCUUGCAGAUCAAGAGUGAGCUGAAGGCAGAGUAUGGUUCUCUUGUAGGUUGAACUUCACACAGUGCCUUCUGAUGAUAUGCGAGUUUCUUUGCUUCUUAAUGCUUAUCCGGAAGUUAUGUAUGUACUGCAGUGAUUGAUAGUUGGAGUGAUGAAAGGAG